GUACGCGACGCGCGGGGUUUCCAGCUGCUCGGACGGCGUCACGGGGCCGGUGCGCGAUGGAGGGGGGCGCGGCGGCGGGCGAUGGAGGGGCCGGUCCCCGGGAGCGGCGCGGGCAGGACGAGGCGGCGAGGCCGCCGCAGAACCACCAGGUGCAGCCUCAGCCCGCGGCUGCCCGCGGUCCCAAACACUCCUACUGGCUGGACCUCUGGCUGUUCGUCCUCGUCGACCUGGCGUUGUUCGUCUUCGUGUACCUCUUGCCCUGAAUGGUUUACCUGAUGUCUAAAUUAAGGAGUUGGCUCCUGGAGCGGACUGACAAUGACUACGACUUCGUGGACAAGGAAGACCGCGCUGUGCAACAGGAAGACUUGCAAACAAGGAAAGGACCUUCCUUUCAUUGUACACAUCCUGUUCCUUACUUGGGGGACCAUAUUAAAUGGGUAAUAAUCUCACCCAGUCAUAGUGGAAUGCUUAAAAUUAGACUCUAAUUCAUGUUUAGCAAUUUUUUUCAAACAUCUGAUAGCUUUACAGGAGGCUGAAUUAAAAUAUUUAUACAGAAAGGUUUAGUGUAUUCAUUAAGAGCUAUAGUAAUGUCUUUCCUUUAACAUUUUAAGGGUUGGUUAGGGUUUAGUAUGAUGCAAAUAAUAUGUGAAUUAAUAAAGUGCCUAAAAAACAUAAAUUACUCAAAAUCAAGGGAAGGAUUUUGAGAAAAGGAUUUAAAGGCUCUACAGAAAAUGCAGGUCCACGAAGUACUGGCUGUACGUGUCAGUUUCAUUUGUAGACCGAGUGGGCCUGUUGUGGCUGAUGGAUACGAUCUUAGAGAAGGACAUAAAGCCCAGUAUUGGGAACCUCUUACCCGGGUGCAUCCCUCCCUUCUUUUUGGGCGCUUGAACUCCCUAACAUAGGACUGUGUAUUUCAAACCUGUUUUUAUUGUUGUGGUUACAUUAAGAAUGCGUGUGGCCAAGACAUGUUUAUUUUUAUAAUUUCUGUAACUUAAAUACUUCAUCAGUCAGCAUAUUUCCUCAUUCAGCAAAUGUUUGAGUAUUUACUAUGCACAGUACGCAGUGACCAGAACAACAAUCCUCGUCUUCAUGGGGCUUCCCUUGCUUUUAUCUAAAUGUAGGUAAGAAUAGAUAUUCCAGGAGCGCUCAGCUGGUCACACUGCCCAAGCAGCUACUCUAGCCCUGCAGAAGCUAUUUCUGUUAUAGAACAGAUACUCCUUUAUUUAACAUGUUAGAAAUGGCCUCUCGAAAUUGAAAUUGGUGGCAUUUGAUACAUGUGAACUGCCUUAUUUUGGGCAUAUUCCCCUCAGAAUCAGGGCAUAGAUCUGGUAAACUCUACAUCCUCUGCUUUUUAGAUUGGCAUUUAGGAUUAGAAUGAAAUCUGGGAUUGAUUUUGGAGGAUUUUAACUGCCCAUUAUAAGGUUAACGAUUCUGCCUUCAGGGUAUUGUGGCAUCUGUCUGAACAAAACCUUUUAUGCAAAGGUUGAAGCUUCCAGAGCUAACACAGCUAACACAGAACUGUUUUCGUGCUGCUUGUUAAUUUGUCCAAUAAAUGUUUAUAGCUAAA